GAUGAACGCUAGCGGCAGGCUUAAUACAUGCAAGUCAAGGGGGUAGCAAUACAACCGGCGCACGGGUGAGUAACGCGUACACAACAUGCCAUAUACUGGGGUAUAGCUUUGGGAAACUGAAGGUAAUCCCCCAUAACAUUGCGAGAGGGCAUCUGAUUGCAAUUAAAGUUUCGGCGGUAUAUGAUUGGUGUGCGUUUGAUUAGCUAGUUGGUAGGGUAACGGCCUACCAAGGCGACGAUCAAUAGCUGGCGUGAGAGCGCGACCAGCCACACUGGAACUGAGACACGGUCCAGACUCCUACGGGAGGCAGCAGUAGGGAAUAUUGGACAAUGGAGGAAACUCUGAUCCAGCCAUGCCGCGUGAUAGAUGAAGGCCCUCUGGGUUGUAAAUAUCUUUUAUCUGGGAAGAAACAAUCUUAUUCUUAAGAAUCUUGACGGUACCAGAGGAAUAAGCACCGGCUAACUCCGUGCCAGCAGCCGCGGUAAU
rnacentral:rRNA from 1 species